rnacentral:rRNA from 1 species
GCCCAGACUCCUACGGGAGGCAGCAGUGGGGAAUAUUGCACAAUGGGGGGAACCCUGAUGCAGCGACGCCGCGUGGGUGAAGGAGUCUUUCGGUAUGUAAAGCCCUCUCAGCAGGGAAGAACAAUGACGGUACCUGACUAAGAAGCACCGGCUAAAUACGUGCCAGCAGCCGCGGUAAUACGUAUGGUGCAAGCGUUAUCCGGAUUUACUGGGUGUAAAGGGAGCGCAGGCGGCGCGCCAAGUCUGAUGUGAAACCCCGGGGCUCAACCCCGGGCAUGCAUUGGAAACUGGCGGGCUGGAGUGCCGGAGAGGUAAGCGGAAUUCCUAGUGUAGCGGUGAAAUGCGUAGAUAUUAGGAGGAACACCAGUGGCGAAGGCGGCUUACUGGACGGCAACUGACGCUGAGGCUCGAAAGCGUGGGGAGCAAACAGGAUUAGAUACCCCCGUAAC